rnacentral:rRNA from 1 species
GUUAGGAAUAUUGGACAAUGGGCGCAAGCCUGAUCCAGCCAUGCCGCGUGAGUGAUGAAGGCCUUCGGGUUGUAAAGCUCUUUAGCCGAUGAUUAUAAUGACUGUAGUCGGAAAAUAAGCCCCGGCUAACUUCGUGCCAGCAGCCGCGGUAAUACGAAGGGGGCGAGCGUUAUUCGGAAUCACUGGGCGUAAAGCGUGCGUAGGCGGCUUUGCAUGUUGGGAGUGAAAGCCCAGGGCUCAACCCUGGAAUUGCUCUCAAAACUGCAAGGCUCGAAUUCGGGAGAGGAUAGCGGAAUUGUCAGUGUAGCAGUGAAAUGCGUAGAUAUUGACAGGAACACCAGUGGCGUAAGCGGCUAUCUGGACCGAUAUUGACGCUGAGGCACGAAAGCGUGGGGAUCAAACAGGAUUAGAAACCCUUGUAGUCC